ensembl:lncRNA
GUUUGAUGCAAAGUUAUCAUGACCCUGCACGCCAAAGUACUCAGUCUUAUUGAGGGAAGACAGACUUUAAAAAAGAAAUUAAAAUUGAUAAAAUGGCUCCAAAAGAAGAAGUUACUUCAAGCCAAAAGAAAAUGCAAACUCUGCAAAAAGAGGAUGAAACUGAAGGAAAACGCAAACGUUGACGGACUGCAGUGGCAGUGCCGACGUAAUAAACACAGAGGGAAAACGACGAGGAAGUCAGCGAGGUGCGGGUCACUCUUUGAGAGGAGCAAAUUGUCCCUAUUCAGCUGGAUGAAAUACAUUUAUAGGUUUUCCCAGGGGCUGCAGUUAAGGCAAAUUGAUAUGCUUCAGGAUGGUGUGGCAGGAAGCAGUCGGACGCUGUCAAAGAUGAGCUACAAAUUGAGAAAAGUAUGCCAGAGGGCAAUCAAGAGGAGAGAAAGAAGGGGAAAGCAGAGAAUUGUAAGAGGGAAUGAAUUUGUGAUGCUGGACGAAAGCAACUUCUACCACAAAAGGAAGGAAGAAGUCGAUGUUAACAGCAGAUGGACAAUUACUCUGCGGGCCUUCCCAUCUUCCUGCGGAAAGAGGCUGCUGGAUUUUUUAAGAACAGGAAUGCAGAAGAAAUUGACCUGCCAGACCUCUCGGAAGCAGCUGUAGCUAUUCUCACUGUCUCAAGUGACACAGACUCCCUUGCGAAGUUUGGUCCUGCUAUCCAUUCUAUAGUUUUUGAGGGAGAUUUGUGUGUGAUAGCGGAGUUGACAGAGGCAUUCAUUUUGCUGUUUGGCUUAAUUUAUGCGCUUCAUCUCGAUUAUCCAAAGCAAAUGUCCUACACAUUUAAUUUCAUUCAAAAAAAUAUACUGGGUUUGGAUGACCUGAAGCGGUUACCUCCUACUGCUUAGCCUUAAAAAUGAAUUGCUGAUGAUGAAUGAGUAAGAAGUCUGUUUUCCAAAUCUCAUGUUGGUACUGCCAGCAUGUUAAUACUCAAGCAAGCAGGGGGGGAAGAGUACCAUCUUUUAGUUAUUUUUAUGCUUUUAUUUAUGUUAUUUUUGUUGAGUAUUAUUACCUUUGUUGAAGAAAUGGUUUUUAUUUCUUUGGUUUUGAUAAACCCCAUUUCAAGGGAGGCUGUUCCGUUAGAAUUCAAAUGGAGUUCUUAAAUAAAUGGAAUCUGCAGUGAAA